AUUUACGAAUUUAUUCACGAGCUAUUUCACGAACCUGUUUAACGAGCCAGAUCGCGAGCUUGUUCAACAAGUCAAAUUGCAAGCCUGUUUAACGAGAUAACUUGCGAGCUUGUAAACGAGUCGAGCUUGAACUCGAGCUUGAGUCAAAUACUGCUAAAUUCAAGCUUGGCUCGUUUAUUAAACGAGACUAAAAUUCAAACUUGAGCUCGGCCCGUUUAGAAAAUGAACCUAACCAAGCCGAGUUUUUAUCGAGUCGAGUCUCGAGUAGCUCACGAACGGCUUGGUUCAUUUACACCCCUACUAUUCUUUACAUUAUUUUAACCCAUUAGUUCUUAAUAAAACCUCUAGAUUCCGACUUAAUCAUGAAAUUUGUACAUAAUUACAUAUAGGCCAAUAAUUCAAUUAGCCCUUUAUUUCACAUUCAAAACACACCAAAACAUAGACUAACACUCGUGAUAAGCACAUAAAAAAAGCUCACAAUAAAUAUAUAAUCAAAUCCAACAUUUAUUCUUGAGCACAUCAUCGUCUUACUCGGCUGAAAACAAUUGGUGCGGAUUAUGGCGCCUCAUCUCCAAACACCUGAGCAAUUCUCUCGGUAGGCACCAAAGGCAAACAAGAGAAUGCACUGUAUCCCUGUUCAGAAGCGCUACGAACAGUUUGGUUGUACAUUUCACAGCAAUAUGAAGCAGUUGGUGCAACUACAUUUGCCACUUGAGGGAAGAGUGGCAGCUUAUUAAGGCCGCGCCAAGCAGUAACAGCAUAUUCCUCUACUUUUGAAUCAUACGUGGAGAAGAACUCCUUGGCCGUGGAUUCAUAAUUGGUGUACAAAGUUUUUGUACUUUCUAUCACAACACGAACAACUUCUGGGGCAUCUCCGACCACUGAAUAAGCUUGGGUAGACACCUGCUCGACAACUGAGGAAACAUAACUGAUCGAUACAUCAACCGUGCUGUCUGCAAACUUGAGAGCCCCAUUGGAAACAUUACAGUACUGAUGAUAGAUAGGCGUAACUGUGCAGUUCACCGUAUGCUCAACAGCCUCGACAGCAAGCUUCAAUGGACAGUUGUCCUUGGCAAAAACGUAGAGGUUUGACAAGGAAACCACGAUAUAAUCCACAGCCGUUGGCACAAAUUUGAAAUACUUAAGCCUCUUUUCCUCCUCAGUUGCCUCUCUUUGGAUAUUCUCACUUUCUUCAUCUUCAGCCAUAAAUGAAGAUUUCCCUUGAGCAGAAAUGGAAUAUGAAAAUUCAAAACGCAGUCGUUGAAGUUUAAAAAAAAUAAAAAUAAAAAAGACCUGCCCUUUCGAAAACACUGAAG
rnacentral:misc_RNA from 1 species